UGAGCCUGCCUGCCACAACUACUGAAGCCCGCGCGCCUAGAGCCCAUGCUCCGCAACAAGAGAAGCCACCACAAUGAGAAGCCCGCGCACUGCGAGGAAGAGUAGCCCCAACUCGCCACAUCUAGAGACAGCCCGCGCGCAGCAGCGAGGACGCAACGCGGCCAGAAAUAAAUAAAUAAAUUUAU